rnacentral:rRNA from 1 species
CCUACGGGUGGCAGCAGUGAGGAAUAUUGGUCAAUGGGCGCGAGCCUGAACCAGCCAAGUCGCGUGAGGGAAGACGGUCCUAUGGAUUGUAAACCUCUUUUGUCGGGGAGCAAAAGACGCCACGCGUGGCGUUCCGAGAGUACCCGAAGAAAAAGCAUCGGCUAACUCCGUGCCAGCAGCCGCGGUAAUACGGAGGAUGCGAGCGUUGUCCGGAUUUAUUGGGUUAAAGGGCGGCGCAGGCGGAAGAUCAAGUCAGCGGGAAACUUGAGAGGCUCAACCUCUUCGAGCCGUUGAAACUGGUUUUCUGGAGUGAGCGAGAAGGAUGCGGAAUGCGUGGUGGAGCGGUGAAAGGCAUAGAUAUCACGAAGAACUCCGAUUGCGAAGGCAGCAUACCGGCGCUCAACUGACGCUCAUGCACGAAAGUGUGGGUAUCGAACAGGAUUAGAUACCCGUGUAGUC